rnacentral:ncRNA from 1 species
UCUCCCGCUUCACCUCCCUGAGCGGGUGCCUUAUCCCCUUAAGGCACAUCCUGUGCCCCCGGCCCCCCUUGCCGGGGGCUUUUUUU